AAUUUCGCCAUCCUCAACACAGCUAACAUCGUCCUCAUUCCAAAGAAGGACGGUGCGGAAGCCAUCACGGAUUUCAGGCCAAUAAGCCUCAUCCACGUGGUCCCGAAGAUUAUCGCUAAAGCUAUGGCUCGCCGGCUCGGUCCGAAGAUGGAUGCUAUUGUUUCUCGCUGCCAAAGUGCCUUCAUCAAAACAAGAACCAUACAUGACAACUUUAUGUAUGUCAGAAACACCGCUCGCAGUCUCCAUCGCAGCAAAACUCCGGCUCUCCUCAUAAAGCUGGACAUUGCCAAAGCUUUCGACACAGUUCGCUGGGACUAUCUACUCGACCUUCUGCGCCGUCUCGGCUUUCCUCCUAGAUGGCGUGCUCUGCUAUCCAGCCUC
rnacentral:rRNA from 1 species